rnacentral:misc_RNA from 1 species
AUUCGCAACUGCAAACCAAAAAAUACAAAUUUAUAUUGUGCUCAUAUUGAAGAAAGUUUACAUAAACAUAGAAAACUAUGAUCCUCAAAGGUAUAGUUGUAUGGACAACACAUGAUUCACAUCAAAAGCAUGUCAUAAUACAGAAAGAAGCAAUCAAUUAGAAAAGAAAAACCCUCAAAUGGCACAGCCCAUAAAGCAUAGCUUUCUGAAACAGUUGGUGCUAAAAUUGUGUAUGGUCAUCAUGUGACCAGCUUCAUUGUUACACUAUGGUUCUCAGUCUUGCCUGCUGGCUAAGCACAAUUCAUGCAAUUCAUUUAGUAUCCAUUCCUCCCCACCCAAUACCAGGACCCUUGUCCCUCCAACCACACACGUGCUAUGGCCCCAGGCAAAUUUAGGUGGCUGACCAGGAACAUUGAGAAUCCUCCAUGAUGGUUUCUCCUCAGAAGGAUCCAACAGGAAAAGUUGAGAAGGAGAAUGCAGCCCAGCAAUUGAACCACCAAAGAUUAUAAUCCUCCCACAGGGCAUGGUGACAGCCACAUGAUCAAGUCUUGGAGGAGAAGCCACAGAAGUUUGGCUGCCUAUGCCAGUGAUUGCAUUACAAUCUAGUUGCCUCCACAGUGGCUCUUCAUCCACCAAAUCAAUGUAGGCCUCACCUGAUCUCAAUCGCAAGUGCCCAUCAAGGCCACCAACAUAAGAAUUUUUGUUCGACCAUAAACUGAGAGUGAAUGUCCUAAUCGAGAUGGAGGAGCCAAAGAAGUUGGAAUCUCUCUCCACAUUGGCUUGUCUGUAGUGAGAUCCAAUAGGUAAGUGUCACUCAGAAGUAACCCAGCAUCUGUGCAUCCACCUGAGACAACCAAUUUAGAACCUUUUAUUGUGCAAGAGCUACGCCAAGAUCGAGGAAGAGGAGGAGUUCCACCGGAAACUUCCUUCCAUGUCGGCUGUUUGGCAUCCAAGUCCAGAACAAAAACAUCAUUGAGCAACCCUUCCCUUCCACAUCCUCCAAAUACCACCAACCAGGAACCAUUGAGACAGGAGAGAGUGUGGCCCCAGCGCCCAGGUGGAGAUGAUUUUACACUCACCCGAUGCCACUCUGGAUUUGCAGCAUCAAGAUUAAGAACCAAUGUAUCAUCCAUUGGCUGCAUGUCAACUCCCUCCCCUCCAAACAAAACAAGUCUAUUCCCUGCUGCACACGCACUGAAAUUACAACGAGAAGGCUCAACUGCUCCUCCAACCGUCGGUUUCCUCCAGCACACAGCUUCAAGAGUGGUUAAUUCCCUAGCCAGACGUCCCCAACCUAACUUCUUAGUCAUCAGCUCCAGUGCACCAGUGACUUCUCUUCCCCAAGCAUUUUGGCAUAACAUCUUCCUCACAUGCUCAUUUUUUGUUAAUUGGCGAAUCCUUCUGCAUACAGACCCAAUGGAUGCAAAAGCGUGAUAAAAUGUUGUGAGCCAGUACUUAUCUGAUAAUUGAAGUAUACCACAUAUUUCCUCAUGAUAAUUAAAUGGUGAUUGUUCACUCAAAUUAGAAAAUGCAGCUGAUUGAUCACACUGCUUAUUGCAAGUCUCUUUGAAAACUGGAUAAGACACAUGAUUCAGAUCUAUUUUUGCUUCUGAAAACACUUGAAUACCAAUGAUGUGUGUAACAGUCCCAUCAUCAUCAUGUAUAGGUGCAAGUCUUAAUCUGCUUACCAAUGGAGUACCCUCCUUCCGAAAAUUGAGAAGCACACCCUGGAAUUCAAUACCUUCCUCAAUACAUCUUCUUACUUCAGAAACAACAACAGGAUCUACUAAUGGAUGCCAUCUUCGAGCACGAGGAUCCCUAUAUUGUAAGAACCGACUGAAAACAAUUUUCCAAAAUGGUUAAUAUGUCCACAACAUAGAAUUCUCAAAAUAAAUAAUACAAUAACAGAAUUGCAAAACGUAUAGAAUAAAAGCAUAGAAUUGCAAGAAAAAGUGAAUGUGUGUGCAAGAGAGAGAGACUGAAGUUGUUGCAGUUUUCUAUUUAUUGAUUUGAAUUCUCAAAACAAGUACAAUUUCCAAAAUGGUAUAUGUUGGAGUUGAUGAGAUUUAGUUAGUAAAACUCUGUGUACAAGUAAAGAAAUAGCCAUACCCAAGCAUGGUGCAAGUAUGGGCUAUGUUAACUAAAGAAAGCAUUCUUUCCAUAUAAAAGGAAGAGAGUGCUGCUGCUGGAAAGAGUGAGAGCUGCUGCUGGAAAUAGAGAGUGCAGAGAGAAUUUGAGAGGCCUGGAAUGAGAGUUUGAGAGAUCUAACAAAAUGAGGAAGAAAAGAAAGAA